UACGGGGGGGGCAAGUGUUGUUCGGAUUUACUGGGCGUAAAGGGAGUGUAGGCGGGUUAUCAAGUCAGUGGUUUAAUUUUCAGGCCUAACCUGAAUCAUGCUAUUGAUACUGAUAGUCUAGAGUAUGGGAGAGGAAGAUAGAAUUCCAGGUGUAGCGGUGGAAUGCGUAGAUAUCUGGAGGAAUACCAGUGGCGAAGGCGGUCUUCUGGUCCAAUACUGACGCUGAGGCUCGAAAGCUAGGGGAG
rnacentral:rRNA from 1 species